AGAGUUUGAUCCUGGCUCAGAAUCAACGCUGGCGGCGCGCUUAACACAUGCAAGUCGCACGAGAAAGUGGAGCAAUCCAUGAGUACAGUGGCGUACGGGUGAGUAACACGUGGAUUAUCUACCUUCUAGUGGGGAAUACCUCCGGGAAACUGGAGACAAUACCGCAUAAGCUCGUAAGAGGAAAGCAGCAAUGCGCUGGAAGAGGAGUCCGCGGCUGAUUAGCUAGUUGGCGGGGUAAUGGCCCACCAAGGCGAAGAUCGGUAGCCGGCCUGAGAGGGCACACGGCCACACUGGCACUGAAACACGGGCCAGACUCCUACGGGAGGCAGCAGUGGGGAAUCUUGCACAAUGGGGGAAACCCUGAUGCAGCGACGCCGCGUGAGCGAUGAAGCCCUUCGGGGUGUAAAGCUCUUUCGGCAGGGAAGAUUAUGACGGUACCUGCAGAAGCAGCUGCGGCUAACUACGUGCCAGCAGCCGCGGUAAUACGUAGGCAGCAAGCGUUGUUCGGAGUUACUGGGCGUAAAGGGUGUGUAGGCGGUUGUUUAAGUUUGGUGUGAAAUCUCCCGGCUCAACUGGGAGGGUGCGCCGAAUACUGAAUGACUCGAGUGCGGGAGAGGAGAGUGGAAUUCCUGGUGUAGCGGUGAAAUGCGUAGAUAUCAGGAGGAACACCGGCGGUGUAGACGGCUCUCUGGACCGUAACUGACGCUGAGACACGAAAGCGUGGGUAGCAAACAGGAUUAGAUACCCUGGUAGUCCACGCCCUAAACGAUGCAUAUUUGGUGUGGGCAGUUCAUUCUGUCCGUGCCGGAGCUAACGCGUUAAAUAUGCCGCCUGGGGAGUACAGUCGCAAGGCUGAAACUCAAAGGAAUUGACGGGGGCCCGCACAAGCGGUGGAGCAUGUGGUUCAAUUCGACGCAACGCGAAGAACCUUACCUGGGUUUGAACUGCAGUGGAAAGCCUCAGAGAUGAGGUCCCCUCUUCGGAGGUCGCUGUAGAGGUGCUGCAUGGCUGUCGUCAGCUCGUGUCGUGAGAUGUUGGGUUAAGUCCCGCAACGAGCGCAACCCUUGUCCACAGUUGCUAACGCGUAAUGGCGAGAACUCUGUGGAGACUGCCGGUGACAAGCCGGAGGAAGGUGGGGAUGACGUCAAGUCCUCAUGGCCCUUAUGUCCUGGGCUACACACGUGCUACAAUGGCGGUGACAGCGGGAUGCCAGGUCGCAAGGCCGAGCCGAUCCCAAAAAGCCGUCUCAGUUCGGAUCGGAGUCUGCAACCUGACUCCGUGAAGCCGGAAUCGCUAGUAAUCGUGAAUCAGCAACGUCACGGUGAAUACGUUCUCAGAUCUUGUACUCACCGCCCGUCACACCAAGAGAGUCGGUAACACCCAAAGCUCCAGUAUCAAAACUGGGAUGACGGUGGGAUUGAUGAUAAGGGUGAAGUCGUAACAAGGUAUCC
rnacentral:rRNA from 1 species